GUAAAACUCUUGUGUUAAAAGAAGAACAUAUCUGAGAGUAACUGUUCAGGUAUUGACGGUAUUUAACCAGAAAGCCACGGCUAACUACGUGCCAGCAGACGCGGUAAUACGUAGGUGGCAAGCGUUGUCCGGAUUUAUUGGGCGUAAAGCGAGCGCAGGCGGUUAUUUAAGUCUGAUGUGAUGUGCCUUCGGCUCAACCGAAGAAGUGCAUCGGAAACUGGGAAACUUGAGUGCAGAAGAGGACAGUGGAACUCCAUGUGUAGCGGUGAAAUGCGUAGAUAUAUGGAAGAACACCAGUGGCGAAGGCGGCUGUCUGGUCUGUAACUGACGCUGAGGCUCGAAAGUAUGGGUAGCAAACAGGAUUAGAUACCCUGGUAGUCCAUACCGUAAACGAUGAAUGCUAAGUGUUGGAGGGUUUCCGCCCUUCAGUGCUGCAGCUAACGCAUUAAGCAUUCCGCCUGGGGAGUACGGCCGCAAGGCUGAAACUCAAAGGAAUUGACGGGGGCCCGCACAAGCGGUGGAGCAUGUGGUUUAAUUCGAAGCUACGCGAAGAACCUUACCAGGUCUUGACAUACUAUGCAAAUCUAAGAGAUUAGACGUUCCCUUCGGGGACAUGGAUACAGGUGGUGCAUGGUUGUCGUCAGCUCGUGUCGUGAGAUGUUGGGUUAAGUCCCGCAACGAGCGCAACCCUUAUUAUCAGUUGCCAGCAUUAAGUUGGGCACUCUGGUGAGACUGCCGGUGACAAACCGGAGGAAGGUGGGGAUGACGUCAAAUCAUCAUGCCCCUUAUGACCUGGGCUACACACGUGCUACAAUGGAUGGUACAACGAGUUGCGAACUCGCGAGAGUAAGCUAAUCUCUUAAAGCCAUUCUCAGUUCGGAUUGUAGGCUGCAACUCGCCUACAUGAAGUCGGAAUCGCUAGUAAUCGCGGAUCAGCAUGCCGCGGUGAAUACGUUCCCGGGCCUUGUACACACCGCCCGUCACACCAUGAGAGUUUGUAACACCCAAAGUCGGUGGGGUAACCUUUUAGGAACCAGCCGCCUAAGGUGACAAGAGGG
rnacentral:rRNA from 1 species